AGAGUUUGAUCCUGGCUCAGGAUGAACGCUAGCGGCAGGCCUAAUACAUGCAAGCUGAACGGUAAAUAUUGUAGCAAUACAAUAUGAGAGUAGCGUAAGGGUGCGUAACACGUAUGCAAUCUGCCCUGUACAGGAGGAUAGCUCGGCGAAAGCCGGAUUAAUACUCCGUAAGAUAUUGGUGGGGCAUCCCACAGAUAUUAAAGUCGCAAGAUGGUACAGGAUGAGCAUGCGUCUGAUUAGCUAGUUGGUAGUGUAACGGACUACCAAGGCGAUGAUCAGUAGGGGAACUGAGAGGUUGAUCCCCCACACUGGCACUGAGAUACGGGCCAGACUCCUACGGGAGGCAGCAGUAGGGAAUAUUGGUCAAUGGAUGCAAGUCUGAACCAGCCAUGCCGCGUGCAGGAAGAAGGCCUUCUGGGUUGUAAACUGCUUUUGCCAGGGGAUAAAAAGUCCAUGCGUGGACAAUUGAAGGUACCUGGUGAAUAAGCCACGGCUAACUACGUGCCAGCAGCCGCGGUAAUACGUAGGUGGCAAGCGUUGUCCGGAUUUAUUGGGUUUAAAGGGUGCGUAGGGCGGCCUAUUAAGUCAGUUCUGAAAUAUCCCGGCUUAACCGGGAGGGUGGGAUUGAUACUGAUGGGCUUGAGUGGAGUCGAGGUAGGCGGAAUUGACGGUGUAGCGGUGAAAUGCUUAGAUAUCGUCAAGAACACCGAUAGUGUAGACAGCUUACUAGACUUCAACUGACGCUGAGGCACGAAAGUGUGGGGAUCAAACAGGAUUAGAUACCCUGGUAGUCCACACUG
rnacentral:rRNA from 1 species